rnacentral:lncRNA from 1 species
UUCAAGUUCUUCUGCAAAAUGCCUCGGCAUAGCUCUAGUUUGGUUUGGAUGAUAGACUGGGGCUCUUACGACAAGGAUCCUUGAAGCUUAGGCAAACACCGAAGCACGACGAGUGUAGACUCCUGAGCAAAGAGAAUCUGAAGAAUAAAUUGAGUCGACGAGAAUAUUACUCUGUCAGAUCUCAGAGGAUAACUGGGUUCAUAAUGUCGCCGUGUAUACAAAGUAUAAUUGUAGGCGCCACAGCAAAACGAGAGGGUUGUAGGCAAGGUGUUGUUGAAUAAUGGAUGCUCAAAUCAAACGAUCGUGGACUAACUUAGAGAAGGAAACUGUGGCGAUGAGGUUGUACUGGAGGAAAAAUUGCCACCUCUCCUUCAACUUGCAGAUUCAAUUCGCAAAGUCCUGAGAGGAGGAUGUUGAACUGAUUUCUGUACGCUACUUAUCCCGUAUCAUUCAUGUCUGGUGUAAAGAGCCUGGUUAGAGCAUUUCUUUAUCGGAAAUCGGAUUCCUGAUAGAAAAUUGAAUUUUCGUUCAGAAAAAAAAGGUCCCGGCAUUCAUACCGUGCAUCGAGAGAGAGGCGUGUGCAUAUUCCAGGAUCUUCUCGGGUUAUUCUCUACCCGUUUCUGCAUGCGAAUCUAUCCACUUGAAAACUACAUCAUUUGACACGAAGAUAUUUGCACCAACUUCGAACUAUUAUUAGAUCUAUGGUAUUUCCAAUUGAAAUGGUUUUACAGAAGAGCAACGACAUUGUAAUAUCUUCGUAGUUCGCAGUCGGUGUUCAAUUUUGUAAUCAGAUCCUUACUUCCUAGAUUAAAAUAUGAAGAAUCGCUGCCUUG